CGGGGAAGGACACGAUGAUCUGCAGACCAGAAGCUGACUCAUGUAAAAAGUAUCCACGAAGGAAUCAUGCAAAUAUACUGGGAUACAAAUAGACUGGGCUUUGUCAAUCAGCCCCCUGUCAGUUGCAGGCGGGACAACAUUCUGCUUUGGUCAGAGCAGUGUGUACUCCUGUGUCCUCUAGGAGCUGAAGGAACACAUUGAAAGACAGGACCCACCUCCAUCUCUUUUGAAGAUAUGGAUGUUGAACAGUUCCUGGGGAUAAAAGAGGAUUUGGCCAUCCAGCCAUGUGCACUCUUGGACUUCUAUGGGUACCUACCCUAAUGCUUUCCUGAGAAGCAUGGGUGUUGCCACAACCAAACCCUUACAUAUUGGUCAUGCUUUGACCCUACAACAUGAAAGCCCUCAAGGAAAAAAGCAUCUAUCAAGUCAGUGGGCUGACUGUGUGUCCCUAGAAAAGCUAUUAUAACAUGUGAUGCCUGAAUAAUCCUACCAAAGACAAGGAUAUUUCUAUCCCUUUCCCAGGAUGUUCAAAUUAGAAGAGAAGCGAGGUC